GACUGCUGCUGAGGAGGCCAGAAAUAUUAGUCACUGAACAGUAACUGUCACCAAACUCCCUUAGUGCCUGCACCACUUUCCACCCUCAUCUAAGCGGGGAUGAGAGGCGCUGUCUUUGUACUUGGAAAUGUUGGCAUUAUUGUCAUAUUGAUGGUAUGGGGCAGGCAUCCUUGUGAUAAAUAGGAUCUGAAGUAGCCCAGAUGCUACCUACAUUAUGAGAUGAAAGUUCUCAGCUGCUGCUCCAGUCACCAUUUCUGCCCACUCCCUGCUACCUCUGCUUUUCCAUCAUAGACUCCUCUAACCUCUGGAAGUGUAAACCCAAAAUAAACUCUUUCAUCUAUAAGUUGCCUUGGUCAUGAUGUUUUAUUACAGCAACAGAAUGAUAAUCAAUGCAUCAGUCUUGGGACCUGGAGGAAAACAAAGAAGAAACACCACAAAAGAAACUUCUGUAAGUCUUCUGCACUUUCAUCUCCCCUAUUGCCUUUGCUGGUCUUUACAGGCUCGAGAGGUUAGAGGAUGCUAAUUAAAGAAGAUCUUUAAUUGGUGAACAAAUUGCUAUAAAACA